rnacentral:lncRNA from 1 species
GACCAGUGCCGUUAUCUGUUGGUUUUGUUGCUCAGUACGUUCUGAAACCGCUCCUUGGGGUUUUAGUUGCUAAUGCCUUUGGGAUGCCGACCACUUUCUACGCUGGUUUUGUACUCACCUGUUGUGUCGCUGGAGCUCAGUUGUCUAGCUACGCCAGUUCUCUCAGCAAAGCUGAUGUUGCCAUGAGCAUUCUUCUUACUAGCUCUACUACUAUUGCCUCUGUUCUCUUUACUCCACUGCUAAGCGGUCUUCUUAUUGGAUCUGUUGUUCCCGUCGAUGCUGUUGCCAUGUCCAAGUCUAUACUACAGGUAACCAAAAGCUUUUUUAGCUAUAUGAUCAUGAGAAGAAACAAUCAUCGUUUGAGGUCAAAACUUGAUUUAACAUCUGUAGGUUGUGCUUGUUCCAGUCACUCUUGGCCUUGUGUUGAAUACUUACGCAAAGCCUGUGGUCACUCUUCUUCGACCUGUGAUGCCGUUUGUUGCUAUGGUAUGCACUUCACUCUGCAUCGGAAGCCCGCUUUCGAUUAAUCGAAGUCAGAUUCUUUCAGCAGAAGGUCUUAGAUUGAUUCUUCCAGUUAUCACAUUCCACGCGUUAGCAUUUGUUGUGGGAUAUUGGUUCUCCAAGAUCCCAGGCUUAAGGUAACACUACUUCAACACGUAAGAAUCUUCUUUUUUUUUUCUAGCUUCAAUAAAUACUUUUCUUGAGUUCUGUUGUUGAAUCUUUUAACCAGACAAGAGGAAGAAGUAAGCCGGACGAUAUCCCUGUGCACAGGAAUGCAAAGCUCGACCUUAGCUGGGCUGCUUGCAAGCCAGUUUCUUGGAAGCAGCCAAGCCGUGCCAGCAGCAUGCUCUGUGGUUGUAAUGGCCAUAAUGGGUCUAUGCCUUGCCUCUUUCUGGGGCAAUGGGCUUCGUAUGAGGGACGUUCUGUCUCCACUAACACCGCAAACUAGUGACAAUACCGCUGAAUCAUGAGCAGAACCACAAACCUGUAAAGCAAGGGAACAACACCUUGAGAUAUUCAUCGCAAAUUCUUUCGGGUUUUGGAUUUUGAGGAACAAACAGCAUUUGGGAAGGUAAAGAUUAAGGGUUUUAGAGGGGAUGGUAUAGGUAGUAGUGGAGACGUGUCAUCAGUCAUCAUGUAUGUAGUCUACUAAUUCAUGAUAUAGAAAUGUGAACGCUUAUAUCCAUUCAGUGCAAGACAGGUUAAGCAAAUAUAAAGAGACCAAUGCAAAGUUGAACAAUGAAACCGACAAAUGCACAAUGAAAAUAACGCAAACACAAGCCGUUGCAGUGAUAGAAAAUAAAGAUCUCAGACUUGAUCUAAAGAAUAUAAUGAGGGGUUGAUCACGCUAUGUUCACUAGUAAUGUGGACUUGUAUAGGGAUUGAUGUUCAACGAACAUAAUCUAAACCAAUUCAACAUGUGAACCAGAAACUGCUUUGAGGAUUUAUCCAAGUUCUUUCUUGUGAAUCUUUUAUCAUUGAACAAGCGAGUAGAUGCAGAGACACUCGCAAAUGCUCUGAUGAAUCAAAUAACUCCACGAGCAAUAUAUGUAAAAAGGUUAACUCUAAUGUAAAAAGAUUCAGUGCAAGACAGGGAAAGCAACAAUACAGAGACCAAUGGAAAAGUUGUACAAAGCAAGAGUCAACAACUCACAUUAGGAUUUUUUUUUCUUUUUUGAGAAAAAACAGAGAUUAAUUAUCUUCGGUCAACUUAGUAUUGUCGCUUGAAUGUUCACCAACACAAUGAUCAGUCUGUUUGGGUGCUGGGUACUUAAUGGCAUUGAGCUCGAGUUUCCGCAGAGCGGCCUUGCCCAAUUCGACACCACAAACAUCAGAAAGCCUCACCAGAUACAACAACACAUCUGAUAAUUCUUCACCAAGAUGAACUUUGUCUUCUUCUUUCCAAUCCGGAAGUCCUCUUUCCACUUCCCCUCUCCAUUGGAAUAUCUCUGAUAACUCUCCCACUUCACCCACCUACAUUUCAUAUUAAAUAUUAUUUCUAAAGCAACCAAAACAACAAGAAACAAGAGUUCACUUGGUUUUGCAGGACAAAAGUUUUGACCUUUUUAUGACUUUGUUCUCAAAAAUCACAUGUUUUUCUCAUUGUUUAUGUUAAUUGCAAAUUCAUUGCUCCAUCACUUGCAAUCAUGUCAAAGUUGGUACAAAGCCACAAUAUCCCCUUUUUUUAUUUGCGGGUUCUUAAUUACAUAAUCAAAUUUUCAUGGAACCAAGAUCAGCUUAUAAGACAAGAUCAGGAGAAAACCAGACAUUAUAACCAACUCGAAGAUCCAUGAAAUGUAAACAAUUAACAAAAAAAGAGAGAUUCCAUUACAUAGCAAAAGAAGCCAACUUUUCUGUUUAUCAGACAGGACCCAAGUUAAAUUUCCAUGUGACACUCCAGUACACUAUAUGCAUCGUAACUGGAAGAUUAAUACACUAACUUGAGAUUUAGAGAUAAAUCAAAGGAGUAAAAGAAGAUACCAUGGCUAAAAGGAGGUUCCUUGGGCUGUGAUACUUCUCCCAAUCUCUAGCCUUUGCAAAAUCAUCCAUCUUCUUACUCAGAGUUCCCAGAGAAACUACUUCCUUCUCUUCCCCCAUGUCCAUUUUUACACAGACAUAUCCCUAAACACUCAAGGAGGAGAAAUCUAAGAUUUAUAGAAGAAAAUGUGAUACUAAUUAUUUUAUUAUUGCUUGAUUCGAUUCCUUAAUGAGACUUUUGAUUGAGAGAGAGAGAUGACCGGUUACCGGAAGUUUCUUGUUGAAGGUGAGAUGUGUACUGGUUUAUCAAGGUUCGUACACGUGGCAGUCAUCUUUUUACUGUAGCUUCUUUACCUAUCGCCCACCCGGCGACCAACGCAACCUGCGAGUCGUAGGCCUAGGCAUUUUAACCUGGACCCGAAGACCCGAAUCGGAACCGACCCAAAAAUAUCUGACCCGGAACCGGACCGAAAAUUUACAAGUACUUUUUGGAUCUAAAUUUUUUUUACCCGAAAAAACCGGAACAGAAAAAGAACCGACCCGAAUAGAUCCGGACCCGAAUAGAACCGAUCCGAAUAUACCCGACCCGAUAAGAACCGAUUUGUACCCGACUUAAAAACAUGUAUAUCUAAAACUAUGAUGUUUUUGUGUUCUAUUUUAUAUAUAUUAUUUUAUGAUUUAGUUGAAAUAUCUUUUGUUAACAACAUUUGUUAUUAUUUUUUUUAAUACAUUUUAGACCUAAAGUUGCCUCCUUUUCUAAACAUUCAUUAGAAAAACAGGAAUGAUAGAAGUAGAUGGGCUCGACUCUAAAGCUCCCAUCAAAUGAAGUCAGUAAACUUCAUCACUUGCUUGUAGUGAAAGCAAUGCUUGCACCGAUUAUCCAUGUCAUUUAUUUGGCACAUUUUUGAGGGUUUGAGGAGAAGCAGGUUUCAGACAUAUCGCCUCUUCAUGGCAAUGUCAAAAUGGUGCAGAGAUCUCUCAAUUCUCCCAUAGAAAUGAUCAACUUGUUGUUUGUUGCCCUCCCAACCUAGAGUAGCCAUGUAUUGUUUUCCUUCAUCCAGAUUUUCUCUGGACAUCAUAAGCAGACCAUACAUGUACAUACUGUUGGCAUAAUUUCCGUCAGCGGAACGGCGAAAGUGGAAUAAUCCUUUGGCAGCAUUCUUGAAGUAGAAAUACACCAUCUGAUGUUCCUUGACACCAGCGGCGACGGCUUAGCUCACCGGCAUCACUGCCAUUACUCUUCUAUAUCGGCUCCCCUCGUCCUCUGCUACCUCGUGAUGAUAUCUGCUUCGAAUCCGGUGAGUCCUCCGGUGACGAUUGGUUUCUCGAAAUCAAGCAUGUGUUUGAAGGCCACUGUCUCGUUCACCAUUUUCUCCCUUGUCCACUAUAACCUCUCCCACUGUGCCACAUCUCGAGUUCAAAACUUCGCCACCGCCUCUGCUCCUCCCUUUGCACCACAUCUCUGUUUUGUCACUAACUUCUGCCGCCGCCACUCACCAAGUCUCGCCGAUCUCUCUGUUACCAUCUACUCUUCCGACAUCGAGACAGCCAUUACUCGCCAGGGUGUCUACGGAGCCAAGCAAAACCGACCAGAUCUAUCUCCAUCCCCGCCGGCAGAAAUGACUCAUCAACAGCGGCCAUGUCUCCCUCCUCACCUAGGGAAAGUAAUUGUCAGUCGUAUAGUUUCUCCUCCUCUGCACUACGUCAUAGCUUCACCAAAUCGAAGAAACGUUCCAAUAAAACACUUUUCACGGGGACCCUAUUGUUCCAGUGAGAAACCUCCACCAACUGACACUCCCCACCUCUCCCGAUUCUCACUCACGCUGUCUCAAAUUGCUUAAGUUCGAUGACUUGCUGUUCAGAAAUAUUUUGGUUACAUCUUGUUUGUCUCGAUACGGUAAUGUCGAGAUCCAAACGUUCGGCCCAGUUACAAUGUCAACUCUAUCAUCCAACUAUUACUUUCAGUAUCUUGGUGAAGCCGUGUCUGUGUCAGCCACCUUCGUCCACAGCCGGCUCUACAUUCCUCUCACUUUUUUUCUCGUCGUCGGAACUACUGUGCAAGAGUGUGGACGCACCAGAUUUGCUCGCUGCUACGUCACUGCGCCUCCAUCACAUUACAUUGUCUCAAACAUCGAUGGUUCUUCACGUAGUCAGUUAUGCAACCUUCAAACCGGAGUUGUGGCAAAGAGACACAACCAUCCCAAAGAUUCUUACCUCUUAUCCGAUGUUUUUCCACACACGUUCUGGUUGAACGAGUGUGAUGAAUGAAUGCUUAGGUCCCUUCAGUUACAACUUUUUGGGAUGGACAUGGUAACGUUGAGUUCCGAGGUUUGAACUCAAUUAAACCUUCAGCUCUGUCAUCAAACUUCAUCCUAAGCGCCUCUUUGGAGGUGAAGUUAAAGUUUGAAAUUUACCUAGUCUCUUCGGUAAGCUUUGUUGGGUUUAAAGCUGAUUGUUCUUGUUUCAGUGUCAAAUCAAGUCAGAUAGGACGUCGUACUCUCAAUGUUGCCUACGGUUUUGGAGCUUCUAACCUAAAGUUCUUGUAAGUCAACAUUUCGACCUCUUCUUAUAGGUGUGUCAACAUUGUUUUCGACUAUCAAUUGUUCUUUUCAACAAUCGCCAUAAGAACAAAAGUGGAGAUUCUCGUUGGGUUUCAUCAUUUAGUUGAGCAUGACUCGCCCCUUAAUCGUUCUAUCUUUAGUUCUUUUGUAAUGUUUUCUAACUUCAUUAUACCGUUGAGCAUGGCUCUAGGAUCUUUUGCUUCAUUUGUAAACGUUGAUGCGCAUCGAGCCUUUUUAUAAUAUAUGUUGUGCACAAAAAAAAAGGAAAGUAAACGGACUAUAGAUACAUUGUAAAAUACUCCUUUUUUGUUUUUGAACAAAGUAAAAUAUAAUUCUUAAACUAAUAAAAAGGGGAAAUACAAAGGGAACUCUUAAAUUUGCUUUCUCCGCAAUCGCCUGUUUCCGAAAGAGACGUUUGAAAACCAGUUCUCGGUGAUCGUAGAUGGCUUACAUAGGAAGAGGAAGAGGACGAGGAAGAGGUGGGUUUGGCGUUGAGUAUGCAAAGGCAGAGCCUUUUGUGAUUUUCCCCGUAAGUUGAAAACUUUUUCGCUUUGAUUCAUCUGUCCUCCCAUAUGCAAAGGCUGAACCUUUUUUUGCUGCCGGCAGGACAUAACGUUAUCUGACCGCAAAUCAAUCUCAGAAGACAAGCAAUUCAAUGAUUGUUUCGACAAAUUUUGGAAAACUUUGAUUUACAACUUAGGCGAUGGAGUUUGAAAGAAAGGUAUCUAUUAUACAAAACAUACAUAAACUCUCUUAUUAGACUUUGUUUUUUAAUUUUUUUUUUUUGGUAUUCAGAGAGUGAGAGUUUAGAUAUCGAGAGGUUUUCAGACACGUUGAAGCCAAAGAAGAAGAAGUCUCAUGAGAGAGGAUCUUUCUAUGACUAUCUUGUUCUUAGACCUGAUAACUUCCCUAAAGAACUUCUUGGAGGUUUGGAACUAAUCAUCUUGUAUGUUUUAGAUUCAUAUUUCAAGUUACUGUUUUGAUCAUAUGCUGCAAUCUCUCAGAUACUCCAAGAGAACGGCCUGUGAAGAGAGCUAAAUGGACUCAAGACGCAGGUAACUGAAAUUGUUGUUUUUGUAAUUAGUUUCAACAAUAUUCUACACAUAAAGAAACUCUAUGUUCUGUUUUUGUAGAUCUGCACAAGUUGGUGGUUUUGGAGAAGCUUGAAGCAAAGCUUAAGGUAAUAACAAAACACAGUUUUAUGGAGCCCACAACAAGUCUUUACAUUGUUUGAUUGUUUUGUUUGGUUUAUAGGCUGAAGGGAAGGAAGAGAAGAAAGAAGGAGUAGGUGAUGAUGAAGCUGAAGAAUGUGAGGGAAAAGAUUCUGAUAACGGAGAUUAUGAUAAGGUUUGUCUCUUUUUUUUUCUUCUUCUAAACUAAUUGGUGAAAUAUGAACAUGUCACUAUUCUGGCUCUGAAAAUUAGUUAAACUUUCUUCUUUUAUGUUUUGUAGAAUAAAGACUUUGAUGAUGAUGAGGAUGAUUAUAACGAGCCGGAAGAUAAUGAUAGUAAGCAUCAUCUUUACACAACGAUUAUAGACUUGCAAACUUAGAGAAAUUAUUCUAACUUUGUUUCUCGUUUUCUGUCAACAGAUGAAGAAGAGUACUAAAGCUAAUUGUCCCAAUGUUUUAGUCCAAGAACUUGAGCAUUCACCUAUUAUUCCUCUUUAAACUUAUAUGAUCAAAAGCUAAUUCAAAUAUCAAAAUACGGAGUAAUGCAUAUAUUAGUUAACAUUUAAUGUCGACCAAGACCCAUAUGGAGAUGAGAUCUAGUCCUAGACACAGUUUAAGUGAAAACAUGAACAAGCUUAACAUCGCAAACUUAGGUUCGAAAUCAAAAUUCAUUUUCCACGUUUUGUCAUGAAACUGAAACGGUUUAACGUUCCCAAGUUUGCUAUCCGACUUUGCAACUCCUCUUUUAUUUCCAAAAAAAUAUCAAUGGGAAACUUGAAUUUUAUUAGAAAGGAUGUUUUAAGCUCAAAGAAGACAUCAUUUUAAUGAAGAUGACAAGCUAAAACUUGAGGAGUCUAUAUAUUUUUUCCUUCUAGAAAACGGCUAUAGAAGUCGAAGGCUUCAUGAGGUUUGUAUUCAGGAACGGUAUGUCCUGAGCCCUACAAAACAAAACAUUAAAACAUCAAAAGCACAUAACAAAAGCAACGAAUUCAUCUGUAAAAUACAAAAAAAGAGAGUGUUUUUUUACCUUAAUAGUUGCAAAUGUAAGAUUGUUGGCAUACCCUUGUGUAAACCUAUCGUACCAAUUUAUUGUAGAAAUAGUGAGCUGAGAAACAAAUCAUUAGAGAGACAGAGUGAGACAAAACAGUUACCCAGCGACCAUGCCAUUUGACAUCCAUGCCCUCCAUUCAUCGACCACCUUGUAUCCCAUUGACUUAGUCCAUGCUUCAGAGCCAGUAUAUGGUACACACAUGUCAUGAUCUCCGCUGCACAUAUUAAAAUAUUACACUGGAUACACUUUGACUGGUUUACUACUCGUUAAAACAUGUAGAACCCGUUUUUUUUUGCGUCUUAAAGUGACUUAUCUUGACCAUGAGAAAAUCAGACAAGAUUAUCGCAUGUUUGAUCCAGAACAACACCACUGGACCAUGCCACCUUGGUUUCUAGACAUUUUCUUUAGUCUUACUUGUACGGUUAAUAUAUAUAUAUGUACCUGAAAAUUAGGGCACGAUAGCCACUAAGAGUGAGGUUUCUAUGAAAUUCUAUCAUGCUUCCAGCAUCAUGAGUGUAAUUGAGGUUGUCUGUGCACAAUUGCCAUCUUCCAAUCUCGCUUUCCUAUCAACGUUUCACACAUAAAUUUUAGAUGUCAAAAUAUUUUAUGGCAAAAAGAAGAGAGAACAUGUAUGAUGGAUGCUAUAAAGACCUCUUUAGCAUGAACUGCCUUCCUUACUGCAGGAUCGUUCAGCCAUGCUGUUGCAACUCGAUCAUCCUGCAUCCAUACCAAGUUCCUUACAUUUUAAUGUCGUGGAGAAGUACAUAUAUUUGAGAAGGAAUGUAGCACAAGCUUAUAUUUGUGUAUAAUGAUCAAAUAUCCUUUAAUACAAAUGGAUAAACCUAAUUGUACAUAUGUAAAUUUGUGUGUAAACAAGUGAUAAUUUUAAUUAUAAUUUUCUCAAGUGGCAAUAGCAAAUAUACUUAACCAAAACAUAUAUAAGAGGAAGAUGCAUGAUGACGUUAAGUACUCACAACGCAAGGAACUUGGGAGUUAGCAAGGAUUUGAGGCCAACUAGGGACAAAGCCUGGACGCACAACAGCACCAAGGGGCCACGAGCGUCCAAACAUUCUCUUUCUCACUGGCAACGGCCUUUCUGUUUUUCCCAACUUAAGGAAACUCGGAGGAAUAGAUCCCAUGUCAAUCGGGGACGUCGAUGUUCCGUGGAAGCACGGUUCUAGAAUGUUAUAUAUGUUUAAUAACUUCACAUCAUCUGACACUUUUCCAAGCAAGUAAGCGCAUUCUACGCUUACAUCUGGCUCUUUAUAGUACUCUCCUUUGCAUGCUGCUUUAGUAUCCUGCUAGUUCUUGUUACACAUUAGAUAAAAGCACUGAUGAAUAAAGCAAGGAUUAUAAGACAUCGAGCAGCAAAACCAAACCUCAUAGAGUUCAUUAGAGAUGAGUCCCAUCCCAUGUGCGAAGGGGACAAGUGCGUUACCAUCAAACACUGGAUCAGUAACUCCAUUACCUACCAAAUAUCCCUAUAUAUAUAAUGUAUAUGACAUAUUAAGAUUGACGAACCGAAACCAUGAAGAACUUUUAACUGAAAUAUUAUCUCCAUUAUUGAACUCCUUUAGCUGUACCUUCAAGUUGAUAGCCGGCUUUGUCCCAUUCUUAUUUCCUACAAAGUAACAAGAGUUGAAGAGAAAUACUGGAAACCAUUUUUUUUCUGCUAGCAUAUGAAAAGGGGUUUAUUUUUCUAAUAAUAUGAUGUUACAAAAGUUAGAUGACCUUUGACAACUUCGGAAGCAAGAGUUGGGACAUAGACACCAGCAUAUGAUUCUCCUGAGAUAAAGAAUUGAUUUGACUGAAACUCCGGAAACAUCUUGAACCACUGUCGAACAUUAAUAAUUAAUGGUUAAUUCGUUGAAUCGCACCCACUACACAAUAAACAUUAUUUGAAUAUAAAUUAUUAUUGUUCUUAAAAAAUAGAACAUUAAUACUUCACCUCGACUAGGAAUGCAUAAGAAUCAGACGCGGUUUUUGAAUCAUUAGUGUUAUAAUCCGACUUGUUUCUAGAGUAAGAGUACCCCACACCAACUGGGGAGUCAAGGUAUAUGAUGUUCGAAACCUGACCCCAAAAAACAAAAAUAAAAUGAUUUUCUUAUUUAUUAUAAGAAAAGAGCAUAUUUGAUGGUUUAUCAAAAGUCGUUGUUCUUUCUUUUCACCUUAGACCAACUAUAAGGAUUGAGAUGCAAACGAGGUUCUUUUGUUUUUGUUCGUUCAAAAUUGAAAGGACCUGCAAAAGUAUGUUAUUAUUAUAUUUGGAUAACAUCGAGAUAAAUCUUGAGUCGAAAAAACCAAUGUCUGUAGUGGCUAAUGUAAAGAUUAUAUGAAACUUACCGUGCUCGUAGAUAAAUCCAUCCAUGCUAGAGCAACCUGGACCACCAUUUAACCAAAUGACAACUGGAUCUGUUGAAGCAUUUCUCUCUGAUUCCACAAAGUAAUACCAUAGAUUCUUAUUACGCUCUUUAUCUAUUGCCACAUACCUUAGAUCACAUACCAACGUCCAUUUGAAAAGUGAGAUUAAAUUCUUUAGGAAGAAAAUCAAAAAUAAAACUGUAUGAAAAGAUGAGCUUUUCGUUUUUGUGAAAUCUAAGCAGUUCAACUGAAUUUUACCCGGCAUAGUGUUUAGAUGGAAAAGUGCCACUAAAACCAGAAAUUUUGGUGACAAGAGCAGACUCAGGGGCAGACUCUGUUAAUGAAAAACGCAAAGACAACAAUACUGAAGCAGCAAGAAGAGCUUUCACUAUCAAACCCAUUUUGAUAAUGAACAGAGACAUGCAACUACAACUGAAAUCUAUCUAUCAUAGAAGAAUUGUGUAUUGCAUAUAUCUAUAAAGGAGAAAACUAGGUAUGGUAAAAAAUAUAAGGAAUUUAAUGAAAUUUUCCAGGAAGCAUUACAAGGAAAAAUAAUAUUAUAAGAAAAUAUUAGGUGAAAAUAACAAAAUAAUAAAUGUAAAAGGAAAGGAAUAGAAGAUUUUAGCAAGAAAUAAAGAAUCAAAUCUUGGAGAAAAUAUUUUUACUAUUAAUAGAGAUAACAUGGGUGACUUUAUGUCAUUGGCUAUAGAGUUUAAGGUGUACAUUUAUUUGAUGUAAAACUUUUGGUGUAGUUGUAGCUUUAUGUUUUUGUCUCUCGAAAUAAAGUUCUCCACCACCAUAUUUUAAUUUUCUAUAGACCUUUUGGUUGUUAACAACUUUUUUAAAAAAGUAAGUUCAAUUGGAUGACAUUUUUGACUCUAAACUAAUUUUUAGUUGUCUUAGCAUCUAUAGCUACAACCAAUCACCCAUAAUAUUAUAAAAUAUACCAGUCAAAUACUUUUGUGUCAUAGUACUUUCAGAUCUUUCAUGUUUGUAUAAAUAUAUUAAAUAGAGAUAAACUCACAUAAUAUGAUCAAGUAUUCAAGUUAAAUACUUUUGUGUCAUAAACACAUAUGAAACUCAUGCAAUAGUUAAUUUUCAAAUACAAAAUUAUUUCUAUAAAUGAUAAUAAGAGAUUUGAAUUUAUUUUCUUGACUUUUAUUGAUUUUUUAGAGUAUGAUUCUGAUUAAAAUGUGAACUAUAUUCUUAACCGUAUUUUUAAAGUGUAUAGUUAUUUUGACAAAUUUUAAUCAAAUAAUUAUUUCUUUUAAAUGUUUUAUACAUAUUGACUGGGUUUGGUGUAUGAACUAAAGUGAUUGAGUGCUAAAAUGUAAUAUACACAUUUUAUUGAUUUUAUAACUUAUUGUAAUACGUAGUAAAUAGAAAUAAAUAAAACUAUUGUUGAAAACUUUAAUCCAUCUAUUUAAUGUAUCUUUUAUUAGUUUUGGUUUCUAAAUAUUUUUAUAAAUGAAAUAUAUUAAUUUAUCAUUUUUAACCAUUCUUACAUUGAUCAAGGUUUAUUUUAGUAUUUUAUAAUUUAAAUGAUAAUUGUUUUAACUCACUUCAUAUGGAUCUAAAUAUAUUGCAUGUUUUAUGUAAAACUAUGCGGUCACAAAAUAUCAACUAUAACUUGAUCUACCAUUCAAUCAUAUAAACAAUAUAUUUUAGUAAUUAUUAAUUUUUUUUGGUUAAUUUAAAUAUAUUUUUUUAUUAAAAUUUAAUAAAUGCUAACUGAAAUAUUUGAAUAAUUUUACGUUUUAAAUAAUUUUAUUUGAAAACAUUGAUGUGUCAUGUUUUAUGUGUAUAAUUACCUUUUUUUUACAUAAAGUUUUCAUUCAUUUUAAACUCCUAUAUAAAUUAGCUUCAUUACACCUGAUUCAAUUUAUUGUACAAUUUUUUUUAUCAAUAACAUAAACAUACUUAAUCAGGACUUUACUAACAAAAUUGUGGAUUCUGUGUUCAUAUGGACAAAGUAAACAUAGUGAUUUCUUGCACCACGAGCAGGAGAAUGAGUUAUAAGUCCUAGGAACGUGCUUGAAUUGAAAAGCGACAAAUCUAUUCUUUGAUAUUCUUCUAAGUAUACUACAAAAGCAGACCAUUUUUCUAAUUCCAAAACCAUCUUUACCGAUUGAAAACAAUUUGUUGCAAACAUUACAUGGAACUGCCGUAGCCGUUUCAUACACUCCAUCGCCCAAAUUAACACUUCCAUAUUUGCGUGCAGAGGUGAAUGUGAGCUCUGAUGUGUUUUGCCCCCAUCAAACCUUCAAAGCCUUCUAAAGUGCUAUAUCAACAUUGUCUUGAUAGUAAGUCCUUCUCUUUCUAAGAAGCAUAUGUAAUGCACCAUCUACCAAUUUGACGCGGUGUACCAUGUACAUCCUCAUUCCUUGUUCCUCUGCUCUCUAUCUCCAAUUGAGCUUCCUUCCAAAGUGCUGUCCUGUUUCUGCCAACUGCAAUGUAACCAUUGGAUUCUUAUCUAGAUCAUUUAAAACAUUUUUGUUUCGCGUUUUCUAAAUGUACCAAAGAAUCCAUGCAAACUGAUGACCCUCAAUGUAUGAUCCAAUCCUCCAGAAUAAAGAAUCCAUAUUUGCAAAAACCUUUUCGUUUUGCCUCUUCACUUCACUUUCUCAGCUUCUUUCUAUUACACUUACUUCCACCGAUGAAAGCAACGUUGCUUAAGUCUGUGCCAAUUAUCAGGACCGGCCCUAAAAUUAUGGAGACCUUAAACAAGAUAUAAAAUGGGGGACAGCUUUAAAUUUUACAAGAGAAUGAAAGAAGUUAGAGAGUUUUUUUAUAAGAAAAAAAAAUGAGAGAAAAGAGAAAUAUUUUGUUACUUAAGUGUAAAUCAGGUUUUUAGUUCUGUGGACUAAAUUUUUUAAUUUAUUGUAUCAUUAAGUUGCUUUGUUGUUUAGCCCGUUCAACUUAGUUAAGUUAUUAAAAAAAAAGAAAUAAGUGGGCUUUAUAUAAAAAAAAUUAUUCAUAUGUAUAAUGUAUAUAGAUUUUUUUGCUUAAUGGAUCCUAUAAAAAUAGGGCUUAUUGGCCAAAUGGCCAUAUUUUGGUGAUAAAUUAAGAAAGUAGCUAUGAUUUUGACAUAAUUCAUUGUCAGAGUUUUGUGCUUUCUUCUAUCCGGUUAUACCCAUUCAAGUAACAGGUUACCGGUUCUAUAUUUUAAAGUAAAAGACGUGGCGUUUAUGUGUGGCAUCGUAACAAUCACAUAACAUACAGAUCGCGUUGUGCAGAUGUAUUCAACACAUAUGAUGUAAGGGUAUGAAUCGAGAGGAGUGAAUAACAGUUGUAAGUGUGCCAGAACCUAUGGUAACCUAACGGCGAACUAAAGAUGAUGACAAGUAUAUUCUAUACCGAUUGUAUGAGUUUCCAUACAACGUACCGUAUAUAAAAUAGUAAUAUUAUAAUUGUAGUUCCAAGUGAAAUAUGGUCUUCAUAAUUUCACUACAGUUAAAAAAGUACAUGUUGCAAGGAAAGUACGUAAUGCUCUACCCAAAAGCAAGCCAAAUAUUUCAGAAAUAAACUAAUCAACCACACAGGAAUAAACUAAAGACCAAAUGUUCAGUCUAAUCUUCCAUAAACUAAACACUGUCCACCAAUCACACAAACCGGAACAGAAUGGUAAACCCUUAUCCAAUGUCAAUCCAAUCGUACAUAAACUAAAUCCUAUCAACUAAUCACUAAACCAUACACGAAAAUAUAACCCCUAAUCCAAUGUCAACUCCAAUUUUCCAUAAAUUAAACCAAAGCCACUAAUCAGUAAACCCUACUUGGAAAUAUAAACCCUAAUCCAAUGGCAACCCCAGUCUUUCAUAAACUAAACUCAAAUUUCAAAAUGCUAGUAAGAUGCAUUUACUUUCUACAUGAGCAUAUAGAACAGAAAAUGUGAUAAACGAUAUAACACAGUACAUAUUGUUCAAAUUUUGAAGUGUAUAUAAUUGCAGGGAAUGAAGUAAUACUUACACCAAAUUUAGAUUGAUUGUAGCGAAAGAAAUGAAGAUUAACGAUAUUAAAGAAAAGAGGUGGAAGAGACAACAUCAUAUGAAUAUCAUUCCCAUUGAAUAUCACAUUAUAUUUUGUUUUAUUUGAUGUCAUAAUAAAUUAUAUUCCAUUUACGUUCAAUAUGUUAUUUUUUCUUUACAAAAUUAUAUACACACACAUAUACACCAAUAUAACGAACACGAUUGAACAACGGACAAGAUUGAACCCUCUAAUGCAUUUUUGAUCACCUCAAUUCAACGAAGGUUGAAAUAGUUAUUAGUCCUUCGUUCCAGUGGGUUCAAAACAUAUCUCAAACAAUCUAUUAGGAACGAAAAUCGUCCAUGUCAAACCUGAAUAACAAAAUAAGAGGGAAACAUGGUUAUGACAGAGUAAUUCAUUCUAUUUUAUAUAGAAAAUAACUUUUUAUAUUUCAAACAAUAUGAUUGUUGAUAAAAAAUGAUAGUGCAUAUGUUACAGAUCAUUCAAUUCCAUCUCAAGUAGAAUAGUUUGUCAAUCAAUUCCAUCUCAAAUACAAUAGUUUGAACAUAUAGUUUUUAUAUUCCACCUCAAAUAAAAUAGGCAUAUAGAGAUCUCACGCAUAUAACCAGUGGCGGAGGUAGGAAAAUUAUUUAGGAGGGUCAGACUCUAAAAAAUAGCAUAUAUUACAUGGGUCAUCUAACUAAACUUAUCAAUAGUUACAUAACUUUUAUAGAAUUAUACCAAUAAAUCUUUUUUUAACACAAAAUCCACCUGGGUCAACUGACCCAUAUGCCAACACUGUGGCUCCGCCACUGCAUAUAACUUGUAUUACAAAUGUUAUUCCAUACAACAAACUAUAUUACUAUACUAUUUACUAUGUAUCUUCCCUAAAAUGCAAAUUUAAAAACAGCCGGGGAAACCAAAACCCUAAAUCAAUUGGCAAACUUCUACACAAAAAUCAGAUCGAACAUGCAAUGUUAACGAGGUUGCAGAUUUACCAAUUAUAAUACCCUAAUUCCGACAAUAUCUCAAAUAUAAAAGAAAAAUAACAACAUAUGAAGAGAUUUAAAGGUAAACACCUGAGAACUUACUGUAGUUCCAAAGAUUUGAGAAGAAUUAACUUGGUGAAAUUGGAGAAGAAGGGUUUGUUACUAACCACUGCUGCAACUUUAACGCCGUACGAUGUCGGAGGAUGGCACAAGCAGAGAAAAGUACAUGAUUGGAAUGAGAGUACGAAAGAUAUGGCAAAGCAUUCGAAAUCAGGCGAAGCAAAGAAAAUAAAAAAGGGAAGAUAAGAAAUAGGAUACACCACUAUUUACUUUUGUGUGGUUAAUAAUUAAUAUUUAUAAUUUUUUUUAGCAGGUUACACCGGUUGCAGGAAAAGGUAUUAUAGUAUUAAUAUAUAUAUAUAUAUAUAUAUAUAUAACAACGUGUAUAGAACCGUUAGGGAAAUAGCUAGAAUGUGAAUUAUGGUUUUUUCAUAGUUAUACGCUCUAAUUUCCCAUAAAAAUAGGGGCAUGUGGCAUGCCCAAAGUAAAUGUAACGUUUGGUUUGAUGCAAACUCAAAGUCCAGCGAUGAUGCACAACAAUCACAUCAAACACAAAAUACACAUGUCUUAUGCUUGCAAAGUAUUUGUUUGAUCGAUGGAUCUUGGACUGCAGAUUCACAAUACAACGUAUAUGGUUGGGUAUGGAUAGAUGAAGUGGGAAAUAAACAAUUCCUAGGGUUGAAAAACAAGGAGAAAAGAUUGUCAUCUUUACACUCAUAACUAGACGCACUCAAUUGGUCCAUGGAGAAUAUGAUUCAACAUAUAACAUGCCAGCAUUUCGGGACGGACUGCAAGGAGCUAAUUUCGAUGGUAAAGGAUCCGACAGCAUGGCCAUGAUUAUCACCGGAACUACCAGAGAUAGCAUCGCUUCAAGACUUCAAAAUCAUUCAUGUUCCAAGGGCACAAAACAAGACAACUGAUUAGCUUGCCAGGAUUGUACGAUUUUUUUUUACAAGAAUUUAGUUUUUAUUAGUUUUUCUGUUCCGGUCAGAUUCAUAGACUAUUUCUAGUUUGAGGGACGAAACAAUUUUUUGUUGUCAAAAAAAUAAAUAAAAAAUAAAGACAUGUGGCAAAUGUUUCAUUGGACAUGGCCCUGCUAACUAUGAACUAUUCUUAUUGGGCUCUGUUAAAUUAUUUUAUGUUUGGCUAACUCGAUUUUCUAUCUUUUAAUCUAUAGGGAGGGGCUGUAAAUAUGAAAGAUUAUAUAGUUAGAAGAAGAAACUGAUUAGAUUCUUCAAGGGUUAAUUAUGAGAAAGACGACAUCUUUAACCUUGAAAACCUAACAGUUACCAACCAAAAACCCGUGAAUUCUGAAGUAAUUGGACCAAACAAACAAAGUUGUAACACCCAAAUUGUGCAUCUAAAUAGACAAAAACCGACCGGCUAAGUACAAAUGACUAUUAGACGACCACGCCAUGAGUUUGGCAUACACUUAACAUUUAUUUUCUAUAUUAUCCCUUUUGCUUGCCUUCUUCAAACUCCAAACUUGACCCUCUCAAUUUUCAGACAAGGCAGAAAGAAAGAGAAUGGCUUCAAUCACCUCUUUCUCUUUCCCAUUCUCACCACCAGCAGUACCCAAACGAACACUUGCCGCUAAAUCUCGGUUCUUCAAUUGUUCUCAUUCAUCUUUCUCUUCGAUCGUUCCGCCAUCGCUUACUAGUAGCUUUCAAAGACGCGUGGGGGAAGUAGCGUGCUCAACGACGCCGUUUACGGGAAGAGUUGGAUUGCAGUGGAGAGAUGGCAACAUGUCUCUCUUAUCUUUCUGCGGAGGAAACCAUUCUCCUUACAACUCCGAUUCCUCCUCUCAGGUCUUGUCCGCUUUGCUUCCUUUCGUCGUGGCCCUCACCGCCCUCGCUGCUCUCUCCUAUCCAUCCACUUUCACCUGGUUUGCACUCUCUCUCUCUCUCUCUCCAUUGCUCUGUUCUCAAGCUAUCUGAUGAGAAUUGAGUAGUGUUUAAGAUGAAUAUCAGAUGAAAUGUUUGCAGGGUAUCUAAAGAACUCUAUGCUCCUGCUCUUGGUGGGAUUAUGUUAUCUAUCGGAAUCCAGCUUUCAGUUCAAGAUUUUGCUCUUGCUUUCAAAAGGUUAUUUGAUCAUUCAAGUUUCUUCUUGAGGCUGUUCUAGUUUUUGAGUAACAUUAUUUGUUUUGGUUGCAGACCAGUGCCGUUAUCUGUUGGCUUUGUUGCUCAGUACGUUCUGAAGCCGCUCCUUGGGGUUUUAGUUGCUAACACCUUUGGGAUGCCGACCACUUUCUACGCUGGUUUUGUCCUCACCUGUUGUGUCGCUGGAGCUCAGCUGUCUAGCUACGCCAGCUCUCUCAGCAAAGCUGAUGUUGCCAUGAGCAUUCUUCUUACU